rnacentral:rRNA from 1 species
UACGUAGGGUGCGAGCGUUGUCCGGAAUUACUGGGCGUAAAGAGCUCGUAGGUGGUUUGUCGCGUUGUUCGUGAAAACUCACAACUCAAUUGUGGGCGUGCGGGCGAUACGGGCAGACUGGAGUACUGCAGGGGAGACUGGAAUUCCUGGUGUAGCGGUGGAAUGCGCAGAUAUCAGGAGGAACACCAACGGCGAAGGCAGCUCGCUGGGACGGUACUGACGCUGAGGCGCGAAAGCGUGGGGAGCGAACAGG